UUUUCAGCAGCUUUCUAGACUGACAAGAGCAGCUGGAAGCAUGGCAACCCCAGGCAGAGCAUAGCGUGCUGCCGCCUCGACUGUGCUCAAGGGGCGCUAGCGUGCGGGAGGAGCCACCUGCCUGGGCCUCUGGAAGGCUUCUGCCUCUGAGCCAGCAGGUACAACAGGGAACAAGAGUGAGAAGGGGACUUGAAAACAGGAAACCUAAUUGAAGGUCUGCACAAGUAGUGAACAAACCUGUUUCUCACUGCUGCAGUCGGCAUGGCUUAUAAUUAAGCAGCAUACUGUUACAAAAAACAAACAAAAGAAAGAGUCUUGGCUGGGCGCAGGUGGUUUAUGCCUGUAAUCCUAGCACUUUGGGAGGUUGAGGCGGGUGGAUCACUUGAGGCCAAAGAGUUUGGGACCAGCCUGGGCAACACAGGGAGACCCCAUCUCUACAAAAAAAAAAAAAAAAAAAAAAAACAAAACAAAACAAAACAAAAAAAACACUAAAAUAUUAGCCAGCCAUGG
rnacentral:lncRNA from 10 species